GGGUGUCAGGCUGCGCCAUGCAGUCGGGCAGGGUCAUCGUGCCGGUCGGGCCGCCGGCA
rnacentral:ncRNA from 1 species